ACGCUCGACACCUACAGGAGGCAGCAGUGGGGAAUAUUGCACAAUGGGGGAAACCCUGAUGCAGCGACGCCGCGUGAGCGAAGAAGUAUUUCGGUAUGUAAAGCUCUAUCAGCAGGGAAGAAACUGACGGUACCUGACUAAGAAGCACCGGCUAAAUACGUGCCAGCAGCCACGGUAAUCUGAGCGGGCUGGCAAGGC
rnacentral:rRNA from 1 species